rnacentral:rRNA from 1 species
AACGAACGCUGGCGGCAUGCCUAACACAUGCAAGUCGAACGAGACCUUCGGGCCUAGUGGCGCACGGGUGCGUAACGCGUGGGAACCUGCCCUUAGGUUCGGAAUAACUCCCCGAAAGGGGUGCUAAUACCGGAUAAUGUCUUCGGACCAAAGAUUUAUCGCCUUUGGAUGGGCCCGCGUUGGAUUAGCUAGUUGGUAGGGUAAAAGCCUACCAAGGCGACGAUCCAUAGCUGGUCUGAGAGGAUGAUCAGCCACACUGGGACUGAGACACGGCCCAGACUCCUACGGGAGGCAGCAGUGGGGAAUAUUGGACAAUGGGCGAAAGCCUGAUCCAGCAAUGCCGCGUGAGUGAUGAAGGCCCUAGGGUUGUAAAGCUCUUUUACCCGGGAUGAUAAUGACAGUACCGGGAGAAUAAGCUCCGGCUAACUCCGUG